CAUUUCUUUAACAGUUAGAACGUGAACUUGGGCCCAACGACACCAACAGCUGUUUAAAAGUCUGUAAGUAGACACACAUAUACACACAUACACUCCGGGUCAGGAGGAUAUCGUCUACACAGUGAGACAUGCAUGCUUAACCAUAUAUAAAAUGAAUUAUUAUUAACUAUAAUCACUACAAUUAUGCCAUUUAAUUCAUUUAAUUAAUUAAUUCUUACUUUAUAUUUUGAUUAUAUUAUUUUUAUUCAUAUUUCAUCAUUCUCUUGAAUUCCUAUGUAUUAAAUUAGUCCCAUAUAUAUAUACCCAUGCAGUAAAAAUAGUUUUAAGGGUUAGGGUAGAAAUAAUGGGGGUUACAAACAACCUGAAGUCAUACAAGUCAAAGUAAAAUUAUAACGAUUUAAGAUGAAUUUCUAAUCUGAUUUUUGGGAGGGGUUCCUAAGGCACAUAGGCAGCAGCGGCAGGUUUUGGGUAGAACCAUAAUGGCAUAUUCUUAUGUUAUUCUACAUGGAGGGUGGGUCAAGAGGGAAGAGCACAUCCACCUUGCUCUUCACAGUAGGUAGUGGACCUUAAGUUCCGUCCGGGUUUGUUAUUCCGAUCCCAGUUCCCGUAAAUCUGUCUACGAUUUUGUUAGGUGACGGAGUUCGUUUUCGCAGCACACCACCAUUUUCCCUGAGCCUAGCCGGCAAACUUUUAGUAGACAGAGAGUGCUGACGAGACGACACUUCCCGUGUCCGUUACAAGAGAUAUAUAUUAGAAAAUAUUAGGAAUAGCGGAUAACUUAGAUAUACCACUAUAGUUUUUAGCGUCGACUUGCUACCUUUGUUAUGGAGAGGAAUUGUAAAGGAUUCCUUCCAGAUGGGGGGGAAAGCUAAAGGAAUGGAUGGAUAGAGUGAAUAGUUUAAGCAAAGGUCCGCACAGAGACUCGGCACAGUACCUAAGUACACAGUCGGGAACUUCGUCAGGGCCCGGUGAGAAUACCGGCUUAACUAAUUGAAGUUCAUGAAGUAAGGAGCCUUCAUUAAACAAAGGGCAGAAAAUGCCAUUCGACCUUGGUAAACUAUAUGGAUAAAUAUAACCUGGGUAGUUUUCCUGGGAAUAGGUGGUUUGAAAAAAUUGUGCAAAAAGAUCGGCGAUUGCCUGAUCAUUGUUUGCCGACAUAUUCAAAAAUUAUAGCGAGGAUGAAUGUGCUUACUGUUUACAAAGCUGUAAAACUGUUUAGGGUCCUGUGAAAAACGUAUCCUGCAUCGAAGGAGGUAGUUCCUAUAGCAUUGAGCAUUAAGAACAGUGAAAUUUGACCGAACUAUUAAGUAAUUAGAAAGAGAAGAGGGAGAACCAACUUCAUGAGAUUUUUUAAAUAGUCUUGAUUUUAUGUUCUUUAGACUGGAUAACUCUUUGGUGAACCAAUUAGGUUUCGCAGAUCUAGUCGGACAUGAAAGUGGGACACACGUGUUACAAAUUGUGUCAAGUACAUUGUAAAAAAUGUUUGUCAAAAAAUCAAAAUUCCUAAUUAAGUUCUUGAGCUUUGUAAACUCGGCUUUACGAAAGCAGCGGACGCGUUCAGAUAGCCUACCCGCACGAUCCGAUACAGUAGGUCCAAUAUCUAUCGACACUUCGAAAGUAGGAUGAUAGCAGUAUUCAGGUAUAGUGAGCGGGAGUGCUCGUGUUAAGAACGCUACGGUCGGAUCCGAGACAAAGCACAGAUCAAGAAAUCGACCCAAGGAGUUUUUUACAUGGUUGACUUGAGACAGGGACAGGUCUAAUAAGCCAUCAAUAAACUCAUGUCGUGACAUGGGCACAAGGUUGUUUGACUCGUUAACCGAAGACCAGACAGUACCUGGCAGGUUGAAAUCCCCAAGAACUAUUAAAUGGUCUUUAUCUGAUAGCGAGGAAGAAACAGUUUUAAGGCAGACAAAUGCUGCUCGUAUAUUAGUACAUCCGAAGACGGUGGAAUAUACGAGCAAUUGACAUAAAUAGACUGGCCGGGAAGAAUCAGUCUAACACAGACGAAUUCCAGGUCUUGUGAGACCUGGACUAUGAAAAGUUCCGACGUAAAGUAAGAGUUUACUGCAAUCAGAACCCCUCAUCCACGUCGAGACGAACGAUCAUUCCUAUAAAUUGUGUACCGAUCUGCCAAAACUUCGGAACUAAGAACGUCCGGCUUUAACCAGGUUUCGGGAAACACAAUACCAUGGGAUGAAAAUGUGAAACUAUCCAUAAAAAGAGUGCUCAGCUUACUACGUAAGCCGCGAGCGUUUUGAUAGGCUACAAAGAGGGAUGUUCGUUUUUUGACUGCAAGGAAUUGCAGUGGGAAGAGGUGGAAGAGGAGGAAUGAGCAGACUAGGAAGGACCACUGGCCUCACUACUAGGAAGAGUUAUGGGGGGACUAUUUUUUUUUCUUAGCCUUAAACUCUUUCACAACCAAGUGCUCUGGCCAAAAUUUGGAAGAGCAAAUGGUCUCGAAAUGAGUUGGAGACAAGCUUAUCUUGAAAGAGG
rnacentral:lncRNA from 1 species